rnacentral:rRNA from 1 species
GCCUGCCCAUUGGGAUCUAAAAGGCCGCGGUAUUAUGACCGUGCUAAGGUAGCAUAAUCAUUAGUCUUUUAAUUGAAGGCUGGUAUGAAUGGCUGGACAAGAAAUAAGCUGUCUUAAAUGAAAAUAUUGAAUUUAACUUUUAAGUGAAAAGGCUUAAAUUUUCUAAAGGGACGAUAAGACCCUAUAAAACUUUAUAUUUUAAAAUAAUAAUUAAUUUUAUAUAAGGAAUUUAUUUUUAAAUAUUUUAUUGGGGUGAUAAAGAUAAAAUAUAAGAUAACUGUCUUUUUUUUUU